AAAUUAUGUAAUAAAUAUUCAAGAAAACAAUACAUUGUAAAAAAUACGAUACCAUUAUUAAAAACAUGAUGUAAAUUUUAAUUUUAAUGGCGAAGCGACAUGGCCGUGGUUGUUCUAUUCGCCGCAGGACGUCAGAUUUCAUAAAAUUAAAGAAGAUAUUUAAUCAAUACAGAUCAUUGUUUUACAGUACUAUCACCUCUAAACCUUUUAUCUUACUAACAUUAUCGCUCGUCCUAUUUUUUACUUUCCUGCUACCGGACUUCUCUGAACGAAUCGACAGAAGUGCGGAAUUAAAGGAAAUGAAGAAAGUUUUGGAUAAGAUCACGGAAGAUAUAAUUCAAGCUCAAAGGACCUGUUAUACAGCAGCUGAAGACAUCUACGCGAUAUAUAAUUUAAACAACGUUUAUCGUGGUAUUUAAAUUCAAAAAGGUUAAAUUUUCAAAAUAAAGCGCCAUCUACACAAUCUUGAAAGCAACUGCACAUAGAGAACAAGACAUAAUAUUUCAAAUUAAAACUUCAAUGUCAACCACAGAUUAAGAGUUUGACAAUACAAUAACUAGAAAGCAGUUAUAUAAAACUUCACAAUCAAGUGAAAAUAAUUAAAUCUAAAAUAUAUUAUAUUAAAAGGGAAGUAUGCCAGUCCGUAAGAACUUUAUUUUGGAAUUAGCCAUUUUUGUCAGUGUUAUACUUAUAACGUCGCAUAUUACCACUCAUCUUUGGGACAGACACUUUUUACGCCGUGAAAUUAAUAAUAUGAGAAAAAGCUUGCAUUCACUUAAGAAUACAAUGACCGAUAUUGGUACAGCGUACGACACUUUACACAAAGAUGUAAAACAAAUUGUUAAACACAAGCCCUGCAAAAGCUGUUGCCAUAGUCCAGAUCACACCCUUGACAGAAGAAAACAACAUGACAUAAACGUCGUGUCUAUGAUAGAGAAGAAAAAAGCCUCUAUGGUCUGUAAAGAAGUGCAGACCCGACAAAAUACAGCCUUUAAUAAGUACUGCCUAACUACUAAUGCCUCGACAAUAACUAGAUAUCCGCUUAGAUCAACCGGUGUAGGCAUUGAAACUAGAAAAUAUUAUGCAUAUAAGGACGAUUGCACAUGCAAAGACAUAAGACGAACAAUUAAAGUUUAAAAUAUUUAUUCGA